UACGUAGGUGACAAGCGUUGUCCGGAUUUACUGGGCGUAAAGAGCGCGCAGGCGGUCGAUCAAGUCGAGUGUGAAAGCCCCCGGCUCAACUGGGGAGGGUCAUUCGAUACUGAUCGACUCGAAGGCAGGAGAGGGUAGUGGAAUUCCCGGUGUAGUGGUGAAAUGCGUAGAUAUCGGGAGGAACGCCAGUGGCGAAGGCGACUACCUGGCCUGUUCUUGACGCUGAGGCGCGAAAGCUAGGGGAGCAACAGGG
rnacentral:rRNA from 1 species